UACGUAGGGGGCAAGCGUUAUCCGGAAUUGCUGGGUGUAAAGGGUGAGUAGGCGGACUUUUAAGUGAGAUGUGAAAUACUCGGGCUCAACUUGAGUGCUGCAUUUCAAACUGGAAGUCUAGAGUGCAGGAGAGGAGAAUGGAAUUCCUAGUGUAGCGGUGAAAUGCGUAGAGAUUAGGAAGAACACCAGUGGCGAAGGCGAUUCUCUGGACUGUAACUGACGCUGAGGCUCGAAAGCGUGGGUAUCGAACAGG
rnacentral:rRNA from 1 species